GCGAUACAGGGUGACAGCCCCGUACACAAAAAUGCACAUACUGUGAGCUCGAUGAGUAGGGCGGGACACGUGGUAUCCUGUCUGAAUAUGGGGGGACCAUCCUCCAAGGCUAAAUACUCCUGACUGACCGAUAGUGAACCAGUACCGUGAGGGAAAGGCGAAAAGAACCCCGGCGAGGGGAGUGAAAAAGAACCUGAAACCGUGUACGUACAAGCAGUGGGAGCCUCUUAAUGGGGUGACUGCGUACCUUUUGUAUAAUGGGUCAGCGACUUAUAUUCUGUAGCAAGGUUAACCGAAUAGGGGAGCCGAAGGGAAACCGAGUCUUAACUGGGCGUUAAGUUGCAGGGUAUAGACCCGAAACCCGGUGAUCUAGCCAUGGGCAGGUUGAAGGUUGGGUAACACUAACUGGAGGACCGAACCGACUAAUGUUGAAAAAUUAGCGGAUGACUUGUGGCUGGGGGUGAAAGGCCAAUCAAACCGGGAGAUAGCUGGUUCUCCCCGAAAGCUAUUUAGGUAGCGCCUCGUGAAUUCAUCUCCGGGGGUAGAGCACUGUUUCGGCAAGGGGGUCAUCCCGACUUACCAACCCGAUGCAAACUGCGAAUACCGGAGAAUGUUAUCACGGGAGACACACGGCGGGUGCUAACGUCCGUCGUGAAGAGGGAAACAACCCAGACCGCCAGCUAAGGUCCCAAAGUCAUGGUUAAGUGGGAAACGAUGUGGGAAGGCCCAGACAGCCAGGAUGUUGGCUUAGAAGCAGCCAUCAUUUAAAGAAAGCGUAAUAGCUCACUGGUCGAGUCGGCCUGCGCGGAAGAUGUAACGGGGCUAAACCAUGCACCGAAGCUGCGGCAGCGACACUAUGUGUUGUUGGGUAGGGGAGCGUUCUGUAAGCCUGCGAAGGUGUACUGUGAGGUAUGCUGGAGGUAUCAGAAGUGCGAAUGCUGACAUAAGUAACGAUAAAGCGGGUGAAAAGCCCGCUCGCCGGAAGACCAAGGGUUCCUGUCCAACGUUAAUCGGGGCAGGGUGAGUCGACCCCUAAGGCGAGGCCGAAAGGCGUAGUCGAUGGGAAACAGGUUAAUAUUCCUGUACUUGGUGUUACUGCGAAGGGGGGACGGAGAAGGCUAUGUUGGCCGGGCGACGGUUGUCCCGGUUUAAGCGUGUAGGCUGGUUUUCCAGGCAAAUCCGGAAAAUCAAGGCUGAGGCGUGAUGACGAGGCACUACGGUGCUGAAGCAACAAAUGCCCUGCUUCCAGGAAAAGCCUCUAAGCAUCAGGUAACAUCAAAUCGUACCCCAAACCGACACAGGUGGUCAGGUAGAGAAUACCAAGGCGCUUGAGAGAACUCGGGUGAAGGAACUAGGCAAAAUGGUGCCGUAACUUCGGGAGAAGGCACGCUGAUAUGUAGGUGAAGUCCCU
rnacentral:rRNA from 1 species